UGGACAUUUGAGACUAAUUAAUUCAGUGGGGCCAGGAUUUGGUAGAUGGUGCUGAGAGAAAACCCUUGAUUGCAUCUUUGCCUUGGGAUUCUACCAGUGGUGAUUGUUGCUCAAUGAGAGAAAG
rnacentral:snoRNA from 1 species